ACUCAAAUGAAUUGACGGGGGCCCGCACAAGCGGUGGAGCAUGUGGUUUAAUUCGAUGCAACGCGAAGAACCUUACCAGGUCUUGACAUCCAGAGAAUUCUUAGGAAACUAGGGAGUGCCAUUUGGAGCUCUGAGACAGGUGGUGCAUGGUUGUCGUCAGCUCGUGUCGUGAGAUGUUGGGUUAAGUCCCGCAACGAGCGCAACCCUUGCUAUUAGUUGCUAACAGGUAGAGCUGAGCACUCUAAUGGGACCGCCCGUGACAAGCGGGAGGAAGGUGGGGAUGACGUCAAAUCAUCAUGCCCUUUAUGAUCUGGGCGACACACGUGCUACAAUGGAUGGUACAGAGAGCAGCGAAGUUGUGAAGCGAAGCGAAUCUCAAAAAGCCAUUCUCAGUUCGGAUUGUAGUCUGCAACUCGACUACAUGAAGUCGGAAUCGCUAGUAAUCGCGAAUCAGCAUGUCGCGGUGAAUGCGUUCCCGGGCCUUGUACACACCGCCCGU
rnacentral:rRNA from 1 species